rnacentral:misc_RNA from 1 species
GAUGAAGAACGUAGCGAAACGCGAUAAGUAGUGUGAAUUGCAGAAUUCAGUGAAUCAUCGAAUCUUUGAACGCACAUUGCGCCCUUUGGUAUUCCUUAGGGCAUGCCUGUUCGAGCGUCAUUUGAAACCUCAAGCUCAGCUUGGUGUUGGGUGUCUGUCCCCGCCUCCGCGGGGACUCGCCUCAAAAUCAUUGGCGGCCGGUACGUUGGCUUCGAGCGCAGCAGAAACGCGAACUCGAGGCCCGGCGGAUCGGCGACCAGAAGUCUCUUCUUCACAGUUUGACCUCGGAUCAGGUAGGGAUACCCGCUGAACUUAAGCAUAUCAAUAAGCGGAGGA